rnacentral:sRNA from 1 species
AGAACCAGAGUGCCUCCUCCCAAUGACAGCAGUGAGGCCAGGACCGGUAGUCCUUUGAAGGUUAAGCAUAUCUCCUUCAAAACAGGUGACGAGCUCAUCUUCUUGGACCCUCACACAACCCAGACCUUUGUCGACACUGAAGAGAAUGGAACGGUUAAUGACCAGACUUUCCAUUGCCUGCAGUCCCCACAGCGAAUGAACAUCCUGAACCUGGAUCCUUCAGUUGCAUUGGGAUUUUUCUGCAAAGAAGAAAAAGACUUUGAUAACUGGUGUAGCCUUGUUCAGAAGGAAAUUCUAAAGGAGAAUUUAAGGAUGUUUGAAUUAGUUCAGAAACAUCCAUCACACUGGCCUCCCUUUGUACCUCCAGCCAAGCCAGAAGUGACAACCACUGGGGCAGAAUUCAUUGACUCUACUGAGCAACUGGAGGAGUUUGAUCUGGAGGAAGAUUUUGAGAUUCUGAGUGUGUAGAACCCUGGGAACUCAACUUGAAGGUCUGUCUUCCAUCUGGCACCAUAAAAACAUGAACUUAUUACAUAAAACUUUUCUAGUCAGCAAGUGCCUGAUAUGCCAAUAGCAUACAAACUCAACAGCAAUCAUGACUGAGCCAAUCACCGUUUCUCAGAA